rnacentral:rRNA from 1 species
CUACUGAUCUUAGCGGCGGACGGGUGAGUAAUGCUUAGGAAUCUGCCUAUUAGUGGGGGACAACAUUUCGAAAGGAAUGCUAAUACCGCAUACGUCCUACGGGAGAAAGCAGGGGAUCUUCGGACCUUGCGCUAAUAGAUGAGCCUAAGUCGGAUUAGCUAGUUGGUGGGGUAAAGGCCUACCAAGGCGACGAUCUGUAGCGGGUCUGAGAGGAUGAUCCGCCACACUGGGACUGAGACACGGCCCAGACUCCUACGGGAGGCAGCAGUGGGGAAUAUUGGACAAUGGGCGCAAGCCUGAUCCAGCCAUGCCGCGUGUGUGAAGAAGGCCUUAUGGUUGUAAAGCACUUUAAGCGAGGAGGAGGCUACUUUAGUUAAUACCUAGAGAUAGUGGACGUUACUCGCAGAAUAAGCACCGGCUAACUCUGUGCCAGCAGCCGCGGUAAUACAGAGGGUGCAAGCGUUAAUCGGAUUUACUGGGCGUAAAGCGCGCGUAGGCGGCUAAUUAAGUCAAAUGUGAAAUCCCCGAGCUUAACUUGGGAAUUGCAUUCGAUACUGGUUAGCUAGAGUGUGGGAGAGGAUGGUAGAAUUCCAGGUGUAGCGGUGAAAUGCGUAGAGAUCUGGAGGAAUACCGAUGGCGAAGGCAGCCAUCUGGCCUAACACUGACGCUGAGGUGCGAAAGCAUGGGGAGCAAACAGGAUUAGAUACCCUGGUAGUCCAUGCCGUAAACGAUGUCUACUAGCCGUUGGGGCCUUUGAGGCUUUAGUGGCGCA